UUGCAAAGAACUUUGAAGAGAGAGUUCAAGAGGGCGUGAAACCGCUGAGAAUGAAGCGGAUAGAGUCGACGAAACUUAAUCAGUAUUCAACCAACACGUUAAACGGUUUUACGCACGUGCGUCAUGUUAUGCAAAUUUCGUGGCGUUCAUCGUACGCACUAACUGUAUGACGUAAAUGUUGGCGUAUUUACUGAUUGUACGCAUUGAGAGCUUCGUAUAUUAGCGCACGAAUAAACUCAACCAAUAGAGGCUUGUCGGUUGGGAUAGCCUUAAACUAUUCUAAGCGACGAUAACCUACUGAGAGUUAGUCGCGUGUCGCAUAUGAAGUUUGCGAUUAACGCGCACAAUUAAUAACCAAAUAAUAUUUAUUGUUAUUAUGUGUUAUUCUAGCGCUCUCCUCUUAUCAUUUUUAAGCGAUUUUACGCGAUCUUUUCAUACGUGGAUAUAUCGCGUGAAUACUCACUUAUUAUUUGAGGAUAUAGCGCAAAAUA
rnacentral:rRNA from 1 species